GAUGAACGCUGGCGGCGUGCCUAAUACAUGCAAGUCGAGCGAACAGACGAGGAGCUUGCUCCUCUGACGUUAGCGGCGGACGGGUGAGUAACACGUGGAUAACCUACCUAUAAGACUGGGAUAACUUCGGGAAACCGGAGCUAAUACCGGAUAAUAUAUUGAACCGCAUGGUUCAAUAGUGAAAGACGGUUUUGCUGUAACUUAUAGAUGGAUCCGCGCCGCAUUAGCUAGUUGGUAAGGUAACGGCUUACCAAGGCGACGAUGCGUAGCCGACCUGAGAGGGGGAUCGGCCACACUGGAGCUGAAACACGGUCCAGACUCCUACGGGAGGCAGCAGUAGGGAAUCUUCCGCAAUAGGCGAAAGCCUGACGGAGCAACGCCGCGUGAGUGAUGAAGGUCUUCGGAUCGUAAAACUCUGUUAUUAGGGAAGAACAAAUGUGUAAGUAACUAUGCACGUCUUGACGGUACCUAAUCAGAAAGCCACGGCUAACUACGUG
rnacentral:rRNA from 1 species